rnacentral:rRNA from 1 species
ACGAACGCUGGCGGCGUGCUUCACACCUGCCAGUCGAACGGAAAGGCCCUGCUUGCAGGGUACUCGAGUGGCGAACGGGUGAGUAACACGUGGGUGAUCUGCCCUGCACUUCGGGAUAAGCUUGGGAAACUGGGUCUAAUACCGGAUAGGAACCAUCUUUAGUGUGGUGGUUGGAAAGUUUUUUCGGUGUAGGAUGAGCUCGCGGCCUAUCAGCUUGUUGGUGGGGUAAUGGCCUACCAAGGCGGCGACGGGUAGCCGGCCUGAGAGGGUGUACGGCCACAUUGGGACUGAGAUACGGCCCAGACUCCUACGGGAGGCAGCAGUGGGGAAUAUUGCACAAUGGGCGCAAGCCUGAUGCAGCGACGCCGCGUGGGGGAUGAAGGCCUUCGGGUUGUAAACUCCUUUCGCUAGGGACGAAGCUUUGUUGUGACGGUACCUAGAUAAGAAGCACCGGCUAGCUACGUG